AUUGAAAUCUACAUUUAUUAAACCAGAUUUUAAGUAGAUUUAUUUGAAUAUAUUUCCAGGCUGUGGACAAUGAGAUCUACCAGUGACUGAGGACACAAAUCAGAACACCGUGAUGUCUGUCUGCUUCUCUUGAGAAUGCCACUUUUGUUUCUCUCAAGGGAUAGUUCAUCACUUUGCCUAUCCCAGUUUUUCAUGUGGUUCCAAAUCCAUUUGUAUCGUCCAGGAGGAGGAAUCAGCGCAUGUAAGGAUAAAGACUGGACAGCUCUGCAUAGUGAACAAAAUGCUAUUUCACAGAUCGAAUACCAUCACGUUUGUAGAGAAUUAGAUGGAAGAGUACCGGAGGAGAAUGAGGUUGGCUUUCACUGUAAAAGUAAUUGAGGGUUGUCUUGAUAGUUGGUUUAGAUCCCUGUUUCUGGCUGUGGUGGUUUGACCACUGCUAGACACCCAGAUAGCCG
rnacentral:lncRNA from 1 species